CGACCCAGAACCGCUUAAGUGCUUAUUUCAUAUAUGUGGUGGUUACACUUUACAUAAAAGACCCCCACAUAAAAAGAAAGAAGAAAUUAGUCCUGGUUUCUUGCAAGAACCUUACAAAAAUUUGUAAAAAAUAAAUCUAAUCUUCGUCUUCUCCUGGGCAAGGCAGGGCCAGCGACGUGGCUGGGCGAGGUAGGGCCGGUGGCGCGCACGGAGGGGCGAGGCAGGGAGGUCCGGUGGGGUCACGCGCAUCAGAUCCGGCGGUGGCUGCUCGACCUCGACCGGAUCCGCAGGGUCGCGCGCGCGACGGCAGGAACUCGAUCUGUGGUAGGGUCAACGACCUCCAUGGCCAGCUCCUGUAGAUGGUGGAGGGAUAGAAAGAACUUCAGGUCUAGGCAAAGAAACGAGGAAAGGGAGAAGAGCUCGGGCCGUCUGGUGGGAGUGCGGGGUCGGUGGGCGGUGGGCGUGGACAGACGCUUCGACGGGGAGGUGGUGACAGGAGGCCGCCACAGGCCAGCAAAGCGGAGGCGACGGGCCGGCCGCGCCGGGGCGACGCCGCACCGGGUCAGCACAGCGGAGGCGACGAGCGAUGCGCUGGCCACGCCGGGGGCGACGGGGGUAGGGGCCGGCCGCGCCGGAGGCUACUGGAGGUGGGGCCGCCGCCUCUCCGCUCGCCAGUUGCUAGCGUCGGCCAUGGAUCGAUGCGUGUGUGUGUUGUGUGGUGUGUGGUGUGCGUGGACGGGUGGGGUGUGGGGUGUGGCUGU
rnacentral:rRNA from 1 species